AAGUCGUAACAAGGUUUCCGUAGGUGAACCUGCGGAAGGAUCAUUAUCAAUUUAAUUAUCCAAAACCUGGGUAUCGUCCUUCACGGGACGGUACUCUAAACCAAACGUGAACUGUUUUUGCCUCUGAUUGGCAAUUGAUGUAAGAAUGGGUUGAGCUUUUGUUCUUCCUAUUCUGUCAAUCAGAGUGUAUUCUUUUACAUCUAACAUUAACCAAUUGAACCGUUUAUUAUUAUAUUGACUUGUUUGAACUGAAUUUGUUUCUUACCUGAAUUAAAACCUCAGGAAGAAAACAUAAUUUACGAAACAAUAUAAAUAUAACUCUUAGCAACGGAUAUCUUGGUUCUC
rnacentral:misc_RNA from 1 species